rnacentral:rRNA from 1 species
UACGUAGGGUGCAAGCGUUAAUCGGAAUUACUGGGCGUAAAGCGUGCGCAGGCGGUGAUGUAAGACAGAUGUGAAAUCCCCGGGCUCAACCCGGGAACUGCGUCCGAUACUGGCAGGCUUGAAUUCGGGAGAGGGAUGCGGAAUUCCAGGUGUAGCGGUGAAAUGCGUAGAUAUCUGGAGGAACACCGGUGGCGAAGGCGGGUCUCUGGGCCGAUACUGACGCUGAGGAGCGAAAGCGUGGGGAGCGAACAGG